CUCGAUUUCAGAGGCUUUUAGGAAAGAAGGUUAUAUUCGUCACUGGCACAGAUGAGCAUGGAGAGAAGAUUGCAACUGCUGCAGCUGCCCGUGGCUCUAGCCCAAGUAAACACUGUGAUGUCGUAUCUCAAGCUUACAAGAAACUUUGGAAAGAUUUAGAAAUUGCUUAUGACAAAUUCAUUCGGACAACCGAUCCCAAGCAUGAAGCAAUUGUCAAGGAAUUUUAUUCUAGGGUUCUUGCCAACGGG
rnacentral:misc_RNA from 1 species